GAGGAAAGAGGGAGGCGUGCCUAACACAUGCGAGUCGAGCGAACAGACGAGGAGCUUGCUCCUCUGACGUUAGCGGCGGACGGGUGAGUAACACGUGGAUAACCUACCUAUAAGACUGGGAUAACUUCGGGAAACCGGAGCUAAUACCGGAUAAUAUAUUGAACCGCAUGGUUCAAUAGUGAAAGACGGUUUUGCUGUCACUUAUAGAUGGAUCCGCGCCGCAUUAGCUAGUUGGUAAGGUAACGGCUUACCAAGGCAACGAUGCGUAGCCGACCUGAGAGGGUGAUCGGCCACACUGGAACUGAGACACGGUCCAGACUCCUACGGGAGGCAGCAGUAGGGAAUCUUCCGCAAUGGGCGAAAGCCUGACGGAGCAACGCCGCGUGAGCGAUGAAGGUCUUCGGAUCGUAAAACUCUGUUAUUAGGGAAGAACAAAUGUGUAAGUAACUAUGCACGUCUUGACGGUACCUAAUCAGAAAGCCACGGCUAACUACGUG
rnacentral:rRNA from 1 species